ACGAGCCCCUGCAUUCUGCAAUGGGAUGGGAUCCGAAGCCCUCCAAGGGAUAAUACAGGCUCUCCUAUUUCCAACUCCUAUUUUGACACGUCCUCGUUGUGCAGAGUGGGAACAUGUGCCUCCAUAUAUCCUAGCUUGGGUGCAUGGGCUUGAUCCAACCCCUUGGUGAGUAUCCCGGAAAAAUCAGGCACCCGAACGUGGGGGGG
rnacentral:ribozyme from 1 species